GCUAACGUAUCACCGAAGCUGUGGAUUGACACCGUAUGGUGUCGAUGGUAGGAGAGCGUUCUAAGGGCGUUGAAGUCAGACCGGAAGGACUGGUGGAGCGCUUAGAAGUGAGAAUGCCGGUAUGAGUAGCGAAAGAAGGGUGAGAAUCCCUUCCACCGAAUGCCUAAGGUUUCCUGAGGAAGGCUCGUCCGCUCAGGGUUAGUCGGGACCUAAGCCGAGGCCGAAAGGCGUAGGCGAUGGACAACAGGUUGAUAUUCCUGUACCACCUAUACAUCGUUUGAACGAUGGGGGGACGCAGAAGGAUAGGGUAAGCGCGCUGUUGGAUAUGCGCGUCCAAGCAGUUAGGCCGGAAACGAGGCAAAUCCCGUUUCCAUUAAGGCGGAGCUGUGAUGGCGAGGGAAAUAUAGUACCGAAGUUCCUGAUUCCACGCUGCCAAGAAAAGCCUCUAGUGAGAUGUAAGGUGCCCGUACCGCAAACCGACACAGGUAGGCGAGGAGAGAAUCCUAAGGUGUGCGAGAGAACUCUCGUUAAGGAACUCGGCAAAAUGACCCCGUAACUUCGGGAGAAGGGGUGCUUUUUAGGGUGAAUAGCCCAGAAAAGCCGCAGUGAAUAGGCCCAGGCGACUGUUUAGCAAAAACACAGGUCUCUGCGAAGCCGCAAGGCGAAGUAUAGGGGCUGACACCUGCCCGGUGCUGGAAGGUUAAGGGGAGAGGUUAGCGCAAGCGAAGCUUUGAACCGAAGCCCCAGUAAACGGCGGCCGUAACUAUAACGGUCCUAAGGUAGCGAAAUUCCUUGUCGGGUAAGUUCCGACCCGCACGAAAGGUGUAACGAUCUGGGCACUGUCUCAACGAGAGACUCGGUGAAAUUAUAGUACCUGUGAAGAUGCAGGUUACCCGCGACAGGACGGAAAGACCCCGUGGAGCUUUACUGCAGCCUGAUAUUGAAUUUUGGUACAGCUUGUACAGGAUAGGUAGGAGCCUGAGAAGCCGGAGCGCCAGCUUCGGUGGAGGCGUUGGUGGGAUACUACCCUGGCUGUAUUGAAAUUCUAACCCGCGCCCCUUAUCGGGGUGGGAGACAGUGUCAGGUGGGCAGUUUGACUGGGGCGGUCGCCUCCUAAAGAGUAACGGAGGCGCCCAAAGGUUCCCUCAGAAUGGUUGGAAAUCAUUCGUAGAGUGUAAAGGCACAAGGGAGCUUGACUGCGAGACCUACAAGUCGAGCAGGGACGAAAGUCGGGCUUAGUGAUCCGGUGGUUCCGCAUGGAAGGGCCAUCGCUCAACGGAUAAAAGCUACCCCGGGGAUAACAGGCUAUCUCCC
rnacentral:rRNA from 1 species